GACGAACGCUGGCGGCGUGCCUAAUACAUGCAAGUAGAACGCUGAAGCGAGGAGCUUGCUCUUCUUGGAUGAGUUGCGAACGGGUGAGUAACGCGUAGGUAACCUGCCUGGUAGCGGGGGAUAACUAUUGGAAACGAUAGCUAAUACCGCAUAAAAUUGAUUAUUGCAUGAUAAUUAAUUGAAAGAUGCAACUGCAUCACUACCAGAUGGACCUGCGCUGUAUUAGCUAGUUGGUGAGGUAACGGCUCACCAAGGCGACGAUACAUAGCCGACCUGAGAGGGUGAUCGGCCACACUGGGACUGAGACACGGCCCAGACUCCUACGGGAGGCAGCAGUAGGGAAUCUUCGGCAAUGGGGGGAACCCUGACCGAGCAACGCCGCGUGAGUGAAGAAGGUUUUCGGAUCGUAAAGCUCUGUUGUAAGAGAAGAACGGGUGUGAGAGUGGAAAGUUCACACUGUGACGGUAUCUUACCAGAAAGGGACGGCUAACUACGUG
rnacentral:rRNA from 1 species